rnacentral:rRNA from 1 species
ACAGGUGCUGCAUGGCUGUCGUCAGCUCGUGUCGUGAGAUGUCGGUUAAGUCCGCUAACGAGCGCAACCCUCGCUGUGUGUUACAAGUGUCACACGGUACUGCCGGUCUUAAGCCGGAGGAAGUGGGGAUGACGUCAAGUCAGCAUGGCCUUUAUGUCCUGGGCUACACACACGCUACAAUGGCCAACACAAUAGGUUGCUAAGCCGCGAGGUGGAGCCAAUCCUCAAAGUUGGUCUCAGUUCAGAUUGCAGGCUGCAACCCGCCUGCAUGAAGAUGGAGUUGCUAGUAACCGCAGGUCAGCUAUACUGCGGUGAAUACGUUCCCGGGGGCUU